CUUGCUGGGUGGAUUAGUGGCGAACGGGUGAGUAACACGUGAGUAACCUGCCCUUGACUCUGGGAUAAGCCUGGGAAACUGGGUCUAAUACUGGAUAUGACUUCUCACCGCAUGGUGGGGGGUGGAAAGAUUUAUUGGUCUUGGAUGGACUCGCGGCCUAUCAGCUUGUUGGUGAGGUAAUGGCUCACCAAGGCGACGACGGGUAGCCGGCCUGAGAGGGUGACCGGCCACACUGGGACUGAGACACGGCCCAGACUCCUACGGGAGGCAGCAGUGGGGAAUAUUGCACAAUGGGCGCAAGCCUGAUGCAGCGACGCCGCGUGAGGGAUGACGGCCUUCGGGUUGUAAACCUCUUUCAGUAGGGAAGAAGCGAAAGUGACGGUACCUGCAGAAGAAGCGCCGGCUAACUACGUGCCAGCAGCCGCGGUAAUACGUAGGGCGCGAGCGUUAUCCGGAAUUAUUGGGCGUAAAGAGCUCGUAGGCGGUUUGUCGCGUCUGCCGUGAAAGUCCGGGGCUUAACCCCGGAUCUGCGGUGGGUACGGGCAGACUAGAGUGCAGUAGGGGAGACUGGAAUUCCUGGUGUAGCGGUGAAAUGCGCAGAUAUCAGGAGGAACACCGAUGGCGAAGGCAGGUCUCUGGGCUGUAACUGACGCUGAGGAGCGAAAGCAUGGGGAGCGAACAGGAUUAGAUACCCUGGUAGUCCAUGCCGUAAACGUUGGGCACUAGGUGUGGGGGACAUUCCACGUUUUCCGCGCCGUAGCUAACGCAUUAAGUGCCCCGCCUGGGGAGUACGGCCGCAAGGCUAAAACUCAAAGGAAUUGACGGGGGCCCGCACAAGCGGCGGAGCAUGCGGAUUAAUUCGAUGCAACGCGAAGAACCUUACCAAGGCUUGACAUGUUCCUGACCGCCGUAGAGAUACGGUUUCCCCUUUGGGGCAGGUUCACAGGUGGUGCAUGGUUGUCGUCAGCUCGUGUCGUGAGAUGUUGGGUUAAGUCCCGCAACGAGCGCAACCCUCGUUCCAUGUUGCCAGCACGUCGUGGUUGGGGACUCAUGGGAAAACUGCCCGGGGUCAACUCGGAAG
rnacentral:rRNA from 1 species